GCUUGCUCAAGCCCCUCUCACUCUGUGGAGUAUACUUUCACUUCAAUACACCUAUGCUUUCAUGUUCCAUUGCUUUGUUUUGUUCAAUCUUUGUUCACCAUGCCAAGAACCUGGACAACUUGUAGUGAAGACCUUCCACACCAGUAACAUAUUUUGGUGAGCCAGUCGGGAGGAGGCUAAAAAACUUGCCCAACGUCACAUGGCUGGGAGUGGAAGAGCCAGGAAGAGUCCAGGAGGUAUGACUCCAGACCAGGCCUCUGGACCACUGCACUCCCACUACCUCUCCAGGCAGGGAUGCAGUCAUCAGUCAAUAGAAGCAGUCCACACAAACCAACCCUAUAAAAAAUUAACUCUCUAACUGGAGAGUUAGAUGAAGGACACACUGUGGGCAAGGUGGGAACAGACACCCCCUAAGACAGCACUUCCCGAAUACUGCAGAGGAUACAGCAAAGCACCUCACCUCUCUUAGAAGCUCAUGCCUGUCACACCAAGGGCCCAUUAUGGACCAUCAUAAUCACCCACAACCAAUUUGGCUGAACAAACUUUCAAGUUUAUCAGAUCAAUGAUACUAUUUAAUCUUGAGAAAUGUGUAAAUCCUGGCAUUUCAAGAUGAUGUUUCCUGCAUGCAGACUUGGAUUCAGUAGACCAGAGCAGCUGGAGAUGCUGCAUUUCCAACCAGCUUCCACAAAUGCGAUGUUGCUGGUCCACGAACCACACUCUGAGCAGCAGGGAUUCGGUGAGGGUUUUCCUUCCUGACAGAGCUCACCAUUCAGUUUAGAAAAAUUUAAGGACAAAUGCAUCCCCAAACACAACUAAAUGUCAAAUGUUAAAAAUACGGAAAACAUGAGCAAACAAUCUGCUCCUUUCCAAUUUCUAAGUAGUUAUCAACUCUUACCAUAUCAGAUUUCCAGUGGAAUUUAC
rnacentral:lncRNA from 10 species